GAUGAACGCUAGCGGCAGGCUUAACACAUGCAAGUCGAGGGGCAGCACGGGUAGCAAUACCUGGUGGCGACCGGCGCAAGGGUGCGUAACGCGUGAGCAACAUGCCCUAUACAGGGGGAUAAUCCAGGGAAACUUGGUCUAAUAUCCCAUAGCAUUUAGAGGAGGCAUCUUCACUAAAUUAAAGCUUCGGUGGUAUAGGAUUGGCUCGCGUGACAUUAGCUAGAUGGUGAGGUAACGGCCCACCAUGGCUAUGAUGUCUAGGGGUUCUGAGAGGAAGACCCCCCAACUGGGACUGAGACACGGCCCAGACUCCUACGGGAGGCAGCAGUGAGGAAUAUUGGACAAUGGGAUGGAAAUCUGAUCCAGCCAUGCCGCGUGCAGGAAGACGGCCCUAUGGGUUGUAAACUGCUUUUAUAUGGGAGCAAUAGGUUUACGAGUAGACCGAUGAGAGUACCAUAUAGAAUAAGC
rnacentral:rRNA from 1 species